GUCAGUGUGUCCGAGUGGUUAAGGAGUGUGACUCGAAAUCACAUGGGUUCUGCCCGCACAGGUUCAAAUCCUGUCGCUGACG